rnacentral:rRNA from 1 species
UACGUAGGGUGCGAGCGUUAAUCGGAAUUACUGGGCGUAAAGCGUGCGCAGGCGGUUUUGUAAGCCGGAUGUGAAAUCCCCGGGCUUAACCUGGGAAUGGCAUUUGGGACUGCAAGGCUGGAGUGCGGCAGAGGAGACUGGAAUUCCUGGUGUAGCAGUGAAAUGCGUAGAUAUCAGGAGGAAUACCGAUGGCGAAGGCAGGUCUCUGGGCUGACACUGACGCUCAUGCACGAAAGCGUGGGGAGCAAACAGG